GAUGAAAACGUAGCGAAAUGCGAUACGUAAUGUGAAUUGCAGAAUUCAGUGAAUCAUCGAAUCUUUGAACGCAUAUUGCGCUCUCUGGUAUUCCGGAGAGCAUGCUUGUUUGAGUAUCAGUAAACACCUCAACUUCCAUAUCUUUUUUGAAAUGGGAGUUGGACUUGAGUGAUCCCAACGCUUUUCCUCACCGAAAAGUGGCGGGUUACUUGAAAUGCAGGUGCAGCUGGACUUUUCUCUGAGCUAUAAGCAUAUCUAUUUAGUCUGCCUAAAAAACAGAUUAUUACCUUUGCUGCAGCUAACAUAAAGGAGAUUAGUUCUUGUGCUGACUGAUGCAGGAUUCACAAAGACAGGCUUCGGCCGACUUUGUAAACUCGAUCUCAAAUCAAGUAAGACUACCCGCUGAACUUAAGCAUAUCAAUAAGCGGAGGA
rnacentral:misc_RNA from 1 species